rnacentral:rRNA from 1 species
CAGUCGCCACGGUAAUACGAAGGGGGCUAGCGUUGCUCGGAAUUACUGGGCGUAAAGGGCGCGUAGGCGGAUCGUUUAGUUAGAGGUGAAAGCCCAGGGCUCAACCCUGGAAUUGCCUUUAAUACUGGCGGUCUUGAGUAUGGCAGAGGUGUGUGGAACUCCGAGUGUAGAGGUGAAAUUCGUAGAUAUUCGGAAGAACACCAGUGGCGAAGGCGACACACUGGGCCAUUACUGACGCUGAGGCGCGAAAGCGCGGGGAGCAAACAGGAUUAGAGACCCCGGUAGUCCCUGUCUUUAUACA